GUAGGUGGCAAGCGUUGUCCGGAAUUAUUGGGCGUAAAGCGCGCGCAGGCGGUUCUUUAAGUCUGAUGUGAAAGCCCACGGCUCAACCGUGGAGGGUCAUUGGAAACUGGAGAACUUGAGUACAGAAGAGGAAAGCGGAAUUCCACGUGUAGCGGUGAAAUGCGUAGAGAUGUGGAGGAACACCAGUGGCGAAGGCGGCUUUUCUGGUCUGUAACUGACGCUGAGGUGCGAAAGCGUGGGGAGCAAACAGGGAUUAGAUACCCUGGUAGUCCACGCCGUAAACGAUGAGUGCUAAGUGUUAGGGGGUUUCCGCCCCCUUAGUGCUGCAGCUAACGCAUUAAGCACUCCGCCUGGGGAUACGGCCGCAAGGCUG
rnacentral:rRNA from 1 species